GGACUACAAGGGUAUCUAAUCCUGUUUGCUACCCACGCUUUCGUGCCUCAGCGUCAGAAGUGGUCCAGUAAGCUGUCUACACCACAGGUGUUCCUCCUGAUAUCUACGCAUUUCACCGCUACACCAGGAAUUCCGCUUACCUCUCCCACCCUCAAGCACUCCAGUUUCCGCUGCACCCUCCCAGUUAAGCCGGGAGAUUUCACAACAGACUUAGAGCACCGCCUACGCACUCUUUACGCCCAGUAAUUCCGAACAACGCUUGCUGCCUACGUAUUACCGCGGCUGCUGGCAC
rnacentral:rRNA from 1 species